UACGUAGGGGGCAAGCGUUGUCCGGAAUCAUUGGGCGUAAAGCGCACGUAGGCGGAUUGUUAAGUCAGGGGUGAAAUCCUGGAGCUCAACUCCAGAACUGCCUUGAUACUGGCGAUCUUGAGUCCGGGAGAGGUGAGUGGAACUGCGAGGUGUAGAGGUGAAAUUCGUAGAUAUUCGCAAGAACACCAGUGGCGAAGGCGGCUCACUGGCCCGGUACUGACGCUGAGGUGCGAAAGCGUGGGAGCAAC
rnacentral:rRNA from 1 species